GACGAACGCUGACGGCAUGCUUAACACAUGCAAGUCAACCUGAAUUUGGGUUUUUAACUUCGGAUUGGGUGGCGGACGGGUGAGUAACGCGUAAAGAACUUGCCUCACUGCUAGGGACAACUUCUGAAAACGAAUGCUAAUACCUAAUAUUAUAAUAAUCGCGCAUCCUAUAAUUAUGAAAGCAAUAAUCGCUGUGAAAGAGCUAUGCGUACCAUUAGCUAGUUGGAGAGGUAGUGGCUCACCAAGUCGAGGAUGGGUAGCCGGCCUGAGAGGGUGAUCGGCCAAAAACGGUGUGAGAGACGGCCCGUACACAGACGGGAGGCAGGAGUCGGUAAGGAUGGAUGAAGGACGGAGAAUCGGAUCCAGCAAUUCUGUGGGAACGAUGAAGUUUUUCGGAAUGUAGAGUGGUUUCAGUAGGGAAGAAAAAAAUGACGGUACCGAGAGAAGAAGUGACGGCUAACUACGUG
rnacentral:rRNA from 1 species